rnacentral:sRNA from 19 species
CCUAGAAAUUAUCCUGAUUUCGAAUCAGGGAUAAUAAAGUGGGCUACAUGCAUAUUCAUUAAGGCAUGGAUGAUUGAAUCUAUAUGCCGAUGAAAUACAAUAACAAUAGUUAGUAGUAAUGACAAGCCUUGGGGAAGUUUUGAACGAAAAUUAGAGUUAUGGUGAGACUUGAUGAGUGUGCUAUGCCUG